GAUUUGGUAGCUCAGCUGGUAGAGCAUCUGACUUUUAAUCAGAGGGUCCAGGGUUCGAAUCCCUGCCAAAUCA
rnacentral:tRNA from 1 species